UACGGAGGGGGCUAGCGUUGUUCGGAAUUACUGGGCGUAAAGCGCGCGUAGGCGGACCUGCAAGUCGGUCGUGAAAUCCCUCGGCUCAACUGAGGAUCGUCGAUCGAUACUGCCGUUCUUGAGGAUUGCAGAGGAGACUGGAAUUCCCGGUGUAGCGGUGAAAUGCGCAGAUAUCAGGAGGAACACCAGCGGCGAAGGCGGCGCUCUGGGCCGGUACUGACACUGAGGAGCGAAAGCGUGGGUAGCAAACAGG
rnacentral:rRNA from 1 species